UUAAACAAUCCAUGGCCCUGAGUGAGCCCCGAGAAUUGUUCAUCUUAUGGCUUCCUAACAACUGUUCUUUCCUUGUCAGCUGUUCUUUGUCUGGCCUCAUGGAUUUUCACAUAGAUUAGUUUUUAGCCACAGAUCCAAAUUUCAAAACUCUUUCUUUGCCUGGCUCCCUCCUCCCAGGAACUGUGCCCUGCAAAUUCUAGCUGUAAUUCUAGAGACCACAGGGUUCUACUUACGUGUGAUCUUUCUGUGCCAGUACCCAGGAGCUGCCAUUCCUUCUGCCUGAAAUGUCUUUUCCUUCUCCACCCAGGCCCCAUAUUCUCACUCUCCCUUCAUCUUCCAUGACGAACAUGCCCAAAUGUCUCCUUCUCAGCCUUGCCUACAGCUCAGUGUAGACACCUUGACUUGGCACUCAUUAGGAUGGCUGCCUUUUCAACAGAUGAUAAGCAGGGGCAGGAACCCUGCCUUUUGGACCUCUGUGUUCCCAGCACCAGCACAGUUCCUAGCACAGAGUAGGUCCUUGAUAAUUUUUUUUAAGUCAGCCCAAUAUUUCCUCUUUAAUCCAUCUGCUCCACCAGAGAGGAAAGAGAACAUGGGACAACACUGAGGUCAGUGAGGACCUAUGUGGGACCUAAGGACCAGGAGGAGAUGCUUGGUGAAAGAGCUGUGGGAAGGAAAGAUUCCUGAAGCAGAGGGAGAGAGCAAGUCAGAGCAAAGCUUUCACAGGCAGGAAUCAGAUGUGUAUGAACUCAAUUCUCAACAGUCCCUUGUCAAAGGUGGAAUUGGCCGCUGACCACAGAAUUAGCCCUCCGACCCACGGCACCUGCUAAGAACCUUGCCCUCUAAUGUCCAGCCUCCCACUGACACCUGUGGGGAGAGCCUGGAAGAAUGUGCCGAGUGAGCAGCCCAGAGACCCCACAAGUGAUUGUUUCAUCUUUUGCCUCCUGGAUUUGCCUCCUCCUGCACCUGCAUGAAGACCACCAGCUGCUGUCAGCAGAGAGUGCUCUUUCCUUGGAGAGCUCACUGCCUACACCACAGCCAGAGCCACCGGCCGAUCUAGCAGAAGCCUUGCUGGAGGCCAAGACCUCAGGAAGAAACAUGAGACCGUGAAGACUGAUCUGGCCACGUCUCUCUGGCUUGAUUUGGAAAUGGGCACAUCAUUUUGCCCCGUUUGGCAACUGUGAGAAGAAAGGGAAUAUUUGUUUUACUUCCUGUUUCCUCUCAUUGACUUCUUCAUUCUCCAAAUAAAGUUAUCUUGAAGU